AUGUCCAACAUCACCGCCUCCACCUUCUGCUUGUCAGCGAUCGUUCGCAUUCGCGAAUCUGAAGUACAAUACAAGCUCACCACCGUUUAUGGCCCCACUGCCUCAUCCCGCAAAGAUGCCUUCUUCGCUGAGCUCAUCAGCCAGAAACCGCCCAAUGGGAUGUCAUGGCUCGUUGCAGGGGAUUUCAACCAAAUAUACCGUGCAAGAGACAAGAAUAAAAGGCAUGUUAACCGUAGUCGCAUAAAUCGGUUCCGAACCACUCUUCAAAGUUGUGAUCUUAAAGAGAUACACUUGCAAAACAGAAGGUUCACCUGGAGCAAUGAGAGGGAAAACCCUACAAUGUGCAAACUUGACUCAUUUUUCUGCAACGCCGGAUGGGACACCACUUUCAACACUCAUUUGCUGCACGCCCUCUCGUCAUCUCUGUCCGAUCAUGUCCACUCCUUCUCGCCGAUGACAAGGGACCGCAGAGACCGCGAACUUUCAAGUUUGAAAUCUUUUGGAUCUCUAUGCCCGGUUUCAUGGAAGUGGUAA
rnacentral:rRNA from 1 species